GCCUAACACAUGCAAGUCGAACGAGGCCCUUCGGGGUUUAGUGGCGCACGGGUGCGUAACGCGUGGGAAUCUGCCCUUUGGUUCGGAAUAACAGCUGGAAACGGCUGCUAAUACCGGAUGAUGACGAAAGUCCAAAGAUUUAUCGCCAGAGGAUGAGCCCGCGUUGGAUUAGGUAGUUGGUGGGGUAAAGGCCUACCAAGCCGACGAUCCAUAGCUGGUCUGAGAGGAUGAUCAGCCACACUGGGACUGAGACACGGCCCAGACUCCUACGGGAGGCAGCAGUGGGGAAUAUUGGACAAUGGGCGCAAGCCUGAUCCAGCAAUGCCGCGUGAGUGAUGAAGGCCCUAGGGUUGUAAAGCUCUUUUACCCGGGAAGAUAAUGACUGUACCGGGAGAAUAAGCCCCGGCUAACUCCGUGCCAGCAGCCGCGGUAAUACGGAGGGGGCUAGCGUUGUUCGGAAUUACUGGGCGUAAAGCGCACGUAGGCGGCUUUGUAAGUCAGAGGUGAAAGCCUGGAGCUCAACUCCAGAACUGCCUUUGAGACUGCAUCGCUUGAAUCCAGGAGAGGUCAGUGGAAUUCCGAGUGUAGAGGUGAAAUUCGUAGAUAUUCGGAAGAACACCAGUGGCGAAGGCGGCUGACUGGACUG
rnacentral:rRNA from 1 species